GCCGAAGUGGUGGAAUUGGUAGACACGCUGUGUUCAGGUCGCAGUGGGCUAACGCCCGUGGGAGUUCGAGUCUCCCCUUCGGCACCA
rnacentral:tRNA from 2 species